UAUUUUUCUCCCUUUCAGUGUGAAACUAUCAUAGAACAGUAUGAAGAUGAAAUAUACUCACUUAUCGCCCAGGAGGCAGACUUUCUGGCUGACAAGCUGUGCAUUGAAAAAUCAGGUCUUUGUCCAAACCCCGAGAUGCAUGGUGAGCUCUAGAACAACUGGAGUCUGCUGCUAUUACAGAUGAAGAACGUCAAGUGAAAUAUCCCUACAAUUUCUGCCUUCCAUUAACCCUUAUCUUUAUGGUGGGUUGUUGUGUGUUUUUUUUAAAAAGACAUCCACCUUGAUACUGAUAAUAUAAAGUUGCCAUCUGCACCAAUUAUUGAGGACACUGGACUGGGACUAGAAUGGUCAGUGGUGAAAAUUAUUCCCAAGACUGUUGUGUCAGUCAUGCUCUUUUUCAAGAACCCCAAUGCCUGGUAGUAAGAGAAUUUGUUCGCUCACUGGUAGAAUGGUAACUCUUGCUUAACAGAAGAUGGCCACGUGGAUUGAAGCAAAAUUAUGGCGCUGUGUAUUGUUAAUCUCUUGUUUUAGCCAGUGUGGUUUUACCAAGUCAUUGUGAAUAUAUGAACCAGUUUUAAUGAUGAUGAUGAUGAUGAUGAUGCUCAGGGCUCAUCUUAGACUGCUAAUGACACUGGUGUUGUCACACUGAAGUCAACAGAACUGUGCCACUUUAAGUAAAUGUCAACUGGUUCCUGUUGCUAUAAAUCAACUUUUUGGCAGAAGCUUUCUCAACAUACCAUCCUUUAGAAGUGAUCUGAUUUAAAGAAACUUACUUUGUUUAGUAGAAACCAUUGACAGCAUUUUGGGUGCUCUAGGUAUUGGAAGAGAUCACUGAGCAAAAAUUCUAUCAAAUAGCAGAAUCUCUUGUUUAGAGGUAGAAUCCAGCCAGCCCAUAAGGCAGUUGCUUCUGUUCCUUGCACUCAAAACAAACGAAAAGGUGGAAUUUAAUGUGAUCACCGUAAAUUGCAAUCAGAUUGUAAAGAGGUUGUUUCAAAAUGGGGAAAUAUCAGUGUGCCCCUGACGCUUCUUGCACCAGUAAACCGCGUCUAAUAAUUUUCUUUGAUUGGAUGGUAUUUUAUUACUAACUCGCACAAUAUGUGUGUUUAUGAUUUUCAACACUUUAUAAUGAUAAAAGCCUCUCUCAUUCAGUAUUUGUUACUUAUAGCUACUCUCAAACUUUUUUUUUCACUUUUUGGUAAAUUCUUACUGAAGUUUGUUCUACGCAUGGAUCAAACCACAUGCUGGCCUCCCUUAGUUUUAAAAAGAAGGGUUAGUGUGCAAAAAUAUUGUCUAUAUUUUGAAAUAAGAGGUUUUGAAGUAUAAAGUUUCCCACAUUGGAAAAAUAACUUCCAAAAAUAUAUUUUGUGUACAGUUUUGUUUUGAGGCUACUGAAAGUCAAUCAAAAUCCAUUUCCUAUAAACUUAGUAGAAAGUUGAUAAAGGGAUUUAAAAGAAAAUAGUCAUCCCUAAAACAGUGUGUACUUAAAAGGAAACAGCUCGGCAUUGAAAUUUUAGUAAGGGAGAUGUAUAAAAUGUCGCACUGUAGUAAGAUGAAAAACCUAUAUAUGCCUACCUUAAACAUGGUUUAUUUCAAGCCAUCAACUGUCCUCUCAUACUAUUACACAUUUUCAUUGUUUUCAAAAUUAAUGAGUUCUUUUGAAACCAACAGAACUUAACAACUUUUUUUGUUUAGGAGUGGAAUAUCUGAGCCAGGAGAAAACUCUUGAUGCUUUUUGGUCAUUGUGAAUUUUUAUUAAUUUUGUUUGAGUGGAGUCAACAAUUCACUUUUUACCUUUCCCUUUAUAUCUUGUUGUGUGGUUUAUGUUCCUUUCCACAAACCUUACAUGUCACAGAUGGUGGAUUUACAAUGACUGGCAACUGAUAUUACUGACCCUGACCCUGAUAUUACUUGGAAGUAAACACCAUCGCUAUCAAUAGAUAUCCUUCUGAGUAAUGUGCUUAGGCCUAUGUGUUAGUCUCAUGGCAGUGGAUAUGACUACACUGGCUUACAUUCAAUUCUACCUAUCUCAACUUAACUGGAUUGUACAACAUCAGAGCCACCAGCCCCAACCCAAAGUCCAAUUACUUGGAAUUAUAAUCCAUUAAAGUCAUUGGAACUUACUUCCAAAUAUAUAAGUUUAGAAUCGGGGGGAUUGCCUGUAAACCUCCACCUACAUCACAUAAACAGAAACCACUGGAUCCACAAUGGGUACUUAAAUAUUAUUUUUAGCGGCAUGUUUUAUCAACAAGAUUUUCCUCAGUUUUAUAUUCAUCCUUUGUCUGUGUUGAGUAGUAACAGUCUAUUGUCUACCUCAGCAAAUGACAUUAAAUUUCUUUCUUUCAUUUAAAUAAUACAUUUUAUCUAAUUAGUAUGGUUUCUAGUCUGUUGAAUAACAAAGGUGAAUAUACCAGUCAGUUUGAGGACUUUCAUUUUGACAUGAAACUAUUAUGCUUAGCAAACACCCCAAAUAUGAAGAUGAAACAGAGAGGUUUCCAGUUGGCUUCAUUUAGACAAAUAGAGCUGGAAACUCCGUCCCUAUUCAUGGUGGAUGGAAAAUUAAAUGGAAAGGGUCAAAUUGCUUCCUUCACACUUCAUGGAAUCCUAUUGAUUUUUAGGGCAAAGAUAAGGAAAGAACUUACCCAAAAUCUAUACUUUAUAUAUAUUAAAAGGGGGCAUAAUCAACUUCAAAUCUCAUCAGUUUAUUUUAAUUAGUGAGAAGUGGUCUCAGUAUCCCAAUUAGUUUGGGGAAUGGUGAAAUCAUAUAUAUACCCUCACAAAGAGAAGAAAAGAAAAAUAAGUCCGGUGUUUGCAUGCACUAUUCUGAUGGCAAGGGAAAAAUUCAGGGUUGUAUGCAAGGCUAGUCAUAUUCCAUGUAGACCGAUCAUAAUUAAUUGACAUUACUAACUUACACACAUUCAUUUCAGUGGGUAUACUUUGAGUAAAAUUUAGUUGAAAAAACCCCUCUAUGGAAAAAUCCAGUAUAUAUGACUGCACAUCAAAAGUCCUUUCAGACUUUCUGCUACAAAGUUAACCAAUUGACAGUGUAAGCACUUCAAAACACUACUUUUUCCUCCUAUUUCCAUCUGCUCUAGUAAUCGUCAACAUUUCAGUUACAGCUGUCAGUAAAACUGUAUCUGACUGAA